rnacentral:lncRNA from 1 species
AAAUUGCUUUCUCUAAGCCGUCAAAUUUAGGAAAAUGUAAAACGACAGUUGCUGCACAUUUGCUGACUUAUUUAUUUCUAAUUUUGUUUUUUUUAAUGCAUUCAUACAGCAGCACUGACAUCUAAUUGUUUAAUUGUUGUCAUACAUUGUUGUAAUGAACUGGAUUGAGACUGAUUGAAGUAGAGGAGUAGUGCAUAGUAUAUCAGAUAAAACUAAUUUAGUGGUAAUUAAGUUGCAUCGCACAUCUAAAUAUGUCACUCAAUGUAAAUAUAUAACUGCGCGUAGGGAUAUUAACAGGCAUACAUCAAAGGCAUUCAAUCUAGAAAAAGAAAUUAUGUAACUUAAAUCGCACCGAUGUUUGCACCGAUACGUGAUUUCAAAAUGAUCUGCUUUACCAAUUCAUUCUCGAUGAGAAAUAAGAACUUUAGAAUGAAAAGAGACAAC